UUAUUCAUUGGUUAGCUUUUUCAGCAAGUAUACGGUCUUUCAUGUAUGUAUAGGUUGCUGAUCUUUCUAAGAAAGAAGCUGAAUGGCUAAAGCGAGAGGGUGAACUGCAGCAAAAAGUUCAACAGUGUACAGAGCCAUCGAUGGACUCUGCUAAGAUUAUGCAGUCAAUCACAGCUCAGUGCAAUGACAUACUGAAGUGUUUGGAUGAGCAUUUUACUGGAUUAGCGCACCGAAUUGAUGGAAUGGGAGCGAAUUUGGAGCACAGAAUUGAUGGUAUUGAAGCAACUUUGGAGCGAUUGGAGCACCAAAGUCCAGAGGAUGAUGA